GAUGAACGCUGGCGGCGUGCUUAACACAUGCCAGUCGAACGGUGAACACGGAGCUUGCUCUGUGGGAUCAGUGGCGAACGGGUGAGUAACACGUGAGCAACCUGCCCCUGACUCUGGGAUAAGCGCUGGAAACGGCGUCUAAUACUGGAUAUGUGACGUGAUCGCAUGGUCUGCGUCUGGAAAGAAUUUCGGUUGGGGAUGGGCUCGCGGCCUAUCAGCUUGUUGGUGAGGUAAUGGCUCACCAAGGCGUCGACGGGUAGCCGGCCUGAGAGGGUGACCGGCCACACUGGGACUGAGACACGGCCAAGACUCCUACGGGAGGCAGAAGUGGGGAAUAGUGCACAAUGGGCGCAAGCCGGAUGCAGCAACGCCGCGUGAGGGAUGACGGCCUUCGGGUUGUAAACCUCUUUUAGCAGGGAAGAAGCGAAAGUGACGGUACCUGCAGAAAAAGCGCCGGCUAACUACGUG
rnacentral:rRNA from 1 species